rnacentral:rRNA from 1 species
AGGGCGCACGGUGGAUGCCUAGGCACUAGGAGCCGAUGAAGGACGUGACGAACGACGAAAUGCUUUGGGGAGCUGUAAGUAAGCUGAGAUCCAGAGAUGUCCGAAUGGGGGAACCCACUAACUAAUGGUUAGUAUCCAUAUCUGUUAAGGAUAUGAGAAGGAAGACGCAGUGAACUGAAACAUCUAAGUAGCUGCAGGAAGAGAAAGCAAACGCGAUUGCCUGAGUAGCGGCGAGCGAAAAGGCAGGAGGGCAAACCAGAGUGUUUACACUCUGGGGUUGUAGGACUGCGCAAAGGAUAUAAAGAGUAUAGGAGAAUGAUCUGGGAAGGUCAGCCAGAGAGAGUAAGAGCCUCGUAUCUGAAAUAGUCUUUAUAGCAAGCAGUAUCCUGAGUACGGCGGGACACGAGGAAUCCCGUCGGAAACUGGGAGGCCCAUCUCCCAACCCUAAAUACUCCCUAGUGACCGAUAGUGAACCAGUACCGUGAGGGAAAGGUGAAAAGUACCCCGGAAGGGGAGUGAAAGAGUACCUGAAACCGUGUGCCUACAAGAAGUUCGAGCCCGUUAAUGGGUGAGAGCGUGCCUUUUGUAGAAUGAACCGGCGAGUUACGUUAUGAUGCGAGGUUAAGUUGAAGAGACGGAGCCGAAGGGAAACCGAGUCUGAAGAGGGCGAAUAAGUAUGAUGACGUAGACCCGAAACCAUGUGACCUACCCAUGAGCAGGGUGAAGGUGCGGUAAAGCGCACUGGAGGCCCGCACCAGGGCACGUUGAAAAGUGCUUGGAUGACUUGUGGGUAGCGGAGAAAUUCCAAACGAACUUGGAGAUAGCUGGUUCUCUCCGAAAUAGCUUUAGGGCUAGCGUCGAUUGAGAGACCGUUGGAGGUAGAGCACUGUUUGAUUGAGGGGUCCAUCCCGGAUUACCAAUAUCAGAUAAACUCCGAAUGCCAAGCGGUUGCGAUCGGCAGUCAGACUGCGAGUGCUAAGAUCCGUAGUCGAAAGGGAAACAGCCCAGACCACCAGCUAAGGUCCCCAAAUAAUUGUUAAGUGGAAAAGGAUGUGGGGUUGCACAGACAACUAGGAUGUUAGCUUAGAAGCAGCUAUUCAUUCAAAGAGUGCGUAAUAGCUCACUAGUCGAGUGACCCUGCGCCGAAAAUGUACCGGGGCUAAAACAAUUUACCGAAGCUGUGGAUAACACUAAGGUGUUAUGGUAGGAGAGCGUUCUAUGUGUGGCGAAGGUAUACCGUGAGGAGUGCUGGAACGCAUAGAAGUGAGAAUGCCGGUAUGAGUAGCGAAAGACAGGUGAGAAUCCUGUCCACCGUAAGACUAAGGAUUCCAGGGGAAGGCUCGUCCGCCCUGGGUUAGUCGGGACCUAAGGAGAGACCGACAGGUGUAUCCGAUGGGCAACAGGUUGAUAUUCCUGUACUAGAGUAUAGAGUGAAGGAGGGACGCAGUAGGCUAGCUAAACCGGACGACUGGAAGAGUCCGGCCAAGCAGUGAGGUGUGAACUGAGUCAAAUGCUUAGUUCUAUAACAUUGAGCUGUGAAGGGGAGCGAAGUUAAGUAGUGAAGUUAGUGAUGUCACACUGCCAAGAAAAGCUUCUAGCGUAAAUGUAUACUCUACCCGUACCGUAAACCGACACAGGUAGUCGAGGCGAGUAGCCUCAGGUGAGCGAGCGAACUCUCGUUAAGGAACUCGGCAAAAUGACCCCGUAACUUAGGGAGAAGGGGUGCUGGCAUAAGGUCAGCCGCAGUGAAAAGGCCCAAGCAACUGUUUAUCAAAAACACAGCUCUCUGCAAAAUCGUAAGAUGAGGUAUAGGGGGUGACGCCUGCCCGGUGCUGGAAGGUUAAGAGGAGCGCUUAGACGUCAGUCGAAGGUGUGAAUUGAAGCCCCAGUAAACGGCGGCCGUAACUAUAACGGUCCUAAGGUAGCGAAAUUCCUUGUCGGGUAAGUUCCGACCCGCACGAAAGGCGUAAUGAUUUGGGCACUGUCUCAACGAGAGACUCGGUGAAAUUUUAGUACCUGUGAAGAUGCAGGUUACCCGCGACAGGACGGAAAGACCCCAUGGAGCUUUACUGCAGUUUGAUAUUGGGUAUCUGUCACACAUGUACAGGAUAGGUAGGAGCCAAAGAAGA